CUACGGGGGGCAGCAGGCGCGAAACCUCUACAAUGCACGCAAGUGUGAUAGGGGGAUCCCAAGUGCUCGUGUUUUCACGGGCUUUUGCCAAGAGUAAAAAUCUUGGCGAAUAAGGGGUGGGUAAGACUGGUGCCAGCCGCCGCGGUAACACCAGCGCCCCGAGUGGCAACCGCGUUUAUUGGGCCUAAAGCGUUCGUAGCCGGUUAAGUAAAUCUUUUGUGAAAUUGUCAAGCCCAACUUGACACCGUGCAGAAGACACUGCUUGACUAGGAACCGGGAGGAGUCAGAAGUAUUCCGGGGGGAGCGGUAAAAUGUUAUAAUCCUCGGAAGACUACCUGUGGCGAAGGCGUCUGACCAGAACGGAUUCGACGGUGAGGAACGAAAGCCAGGGGAGCAAAACGGAUUAGAUACCCUGGUAGUC
rnacentral:rRNA from 1 species